rnacentral:rRNA from 1 species
GACGAACGCUGGCGGCGUGCUUAACACAUGCAAGUCGAACGGAAAGGCCCUGCUUUUGUGGGGUGCUCGAUUGGCGCACGGGUGAGUAAAACGUGAGUAACCUGCCCUUGACUUUGGGAUAACUUCAGGAAACUGGGGCUCAUACCGGAUAGGAGCUCCUGCUGCAUGGUGGGGGUUGGAAAGUUUCGGCGGUUGGGGCUGGACUCGCGGCUUAUCAGCUUGUUGGUGGGGUAGUGGCUUACCAAGGCUUUGACGGGUAGGCGGCCUGAGAGGCGGACCGGCCACAAUGGGACUGAGAGACGGCGCAGACUGCUACGGGAGGCAGCAGGGGGGAAUAUGGCACAACGGGCGGAAGCCUGAGGCAGCAACGCCGCGUGCGGGAUGACGGGCUUUGGGUUGUAAACCGAUUUCGACUGUGACGAAGCGUGAGUGACGGUAAUGGGUAAAGAAGCAACGGCUAACUACGUG